GUGAGGAAUAUUGGUCAAUGGGCGGGAGCCUGAACCAGCCAAGUCGCGUGAAGGAAGAAGGAUCUAUGGUUCGUAAACUUCUUUUGCAGGGGAAUAAAGUGCAGGACGUGUCCUGUUUUGUAUGUACCCUGAGAAUAAGGAUCGGCUAACUCCGUGCCAGCAGCCGCGGUAAUACGGAGGAUCCGAGCGUUAUCCGGAUUUAUUGGGGUUAAAGGGGGCGUAGGUGGUUUGAUAAGUCAGCGGUGAAAGUUUGCAGCUUAACUGUAGAAAUGCCGUUGAAACUGUCGGACUUGAGUGUAAAUGAGGUAGGCGGAAUGCGUGGUGUAGCGGUGAAAUGCAUAGAUAUCACGCAGAACUCCGAUUGCGAAGGCAGCUUACUAAGCUACAACUGACACUGAAGCACGAAAACGUGGGGAUCAAACAGGAUUAGAAACCAGUGUAGUCC
rnacentral:rRNA from 1 species